rnacentral:rRNA from 1 species
AUUGAACGCUGGCGGCAUGCCUUACACAUGCAAGUCGAACGGUAACAGGUUAAGCUGACGAGUGGCGAACGGGUGAGUAAUGUAUCGGAACGUGCCCAGUCGUGGGGGAUAACUACUCGAAAGAGUGGCUAAUACCGCAUACGACCUGAGGGUGAAAGCGGGGGACCGGAAGGCCUCGCGCGAUUGGAACGGCCGAUAUAAGAUUAAAUAGUUGGGGGGGUAAAAGCCCACCAAGGCGCCGAUCUGUAGCUGUUCUGAGAGGACGACCAGCCACACUGGGACUGAGACACGGCCCAGACUCCUACGGGAGGCAGCAGUGGGGAAUUUUGGACAAUGGACGCAAGUCUGAUCCAGCCAUGCCGCGUGCGGGAAGAAGGCCUUCGGGUUGUAAACCGCUUUUGUCAGGGAAGAAACGAGUUUCUCUAAUACAGAGACUUAAUGACGGUACCUGAAGAAUAAGCACCGGCUAACUACGUGCCAGCCGCCGCCGUAAUAC